GACAGAGGGUGCAAACGUUGUUCGGAAUUACUGGGCGUAAAGCGCGUGUAGGCGGCUAUGUAAGUCGGGCGUGAAAUCCCACGGCUCAACCGUGGAAGUGCACCCGAAACUGCGUAGCUAGAGUCCUGGAGAGGAAGGUGGAAUGCUUGGUGUAGAGGUGAAAUUCGUAGAUAUCAAGCGGAACACCAGUGGCGAAGGCGAGUCCCUGGACAACACCUGACACUGAGGCACGAAAGCUAGGGGAGCAAACAGG
rnacentral:rRNA from 1 species